rnacentral:rRNA from 1 species
CCUACGGGAGGCAGCAGUGAGGAAUAUUGGGCAAUGGGGGCAACCCUGACCCAGCCAUGCCGCGUGAGUGAAGAAGGUCUUCGGAUUGUAAAGCUCUUUCGGACGUGACGAUGAUGACGGUAGCGUCUAACGAAGCACCGGCAAACUUCGUGCCAGCAGCCGCGGUAAUACGAGGGGUGCGAGCGUUGUUCGGAUUUAUUGGGUUUAAAGGGUGCGUAGGCGGUCCGUUAAGUCAGCGGUAAAAUUGCGGGGCUCAACCCCGUCGAGCCGUUGAAACUGGCAGACUUGAGUUGGCGAGAAGUACGCGGAAUGCGCGGUGUAGCGGUGAAAUGCAUAGAUAUCGCGCAGAACUCCGAUUGCGAAGGCAGCGUACCGGCGCCAGACUGACGCUGAGGCACGAAAGCGUGGGGAUCGAACAGGAUUAGAUACCCUUGUAGUC